GGCGCACGUGAUAGGUCCCCAUUUCGAUUCACCCUACCUCUGUUCGUAGAGUCUUCGGGCUAUCUCAGAUCCAGAUCGAGCGUUCUCCUUGGAAUCGUCCCCGAAUUUUGUAUCCUUCUCUCAUCGUCAUCUCGGUCAUCGUUAUCCUUCUCCCCCAAUUUGACUCAGCUCCUCGAAUUGGAUUCACCUCCCCGAUUCGUGAAUGAGAAGGUGUUGACCCAUCGCGAUUUCGAAUAAGUCAAUCGAUUGGCGGCGGCGCAUUCUUUGGGCAGAGAUUGAAUCUCAUGUGCAACCUGGAUCUGUAUCAGUAUAUGUUCGUUAUGGACAAAGUAGACCAAAGGAUGCAAAUCUUUUAGCUCAAGCCCAUGUUGUGAUCCCACUACAUAUGGAGUUUUAGCAUCGAUCAGAAUUUUCUAUAGAGGAAUUGGUGACUGAAGAUAAUCGUGCUAAACCAACCAGAGUUGCAGUUGAUAAUGCCUCGGGCAGGAAAGCCAGUUUGAUUAAGUUUUGCCGUAGAUGGUGCAAGUUUGCUAGAGGUGGUUCAGGUUUUGAAUUAUUUAAGUCUCAUUAUAAGAAGGCUUACAUUUCUUCAGAUGGGGAUUAGUUCAUGGCUGUGUUUCAUGUUACUGAUUAAUUAAUAGGGGAAUAGGCUCUUUGAUGAUGGAAUAGCUGAAGGCAUUCAACAGGUUAUGUGGUUGGACUGCUAUAAGAAGAUUAUAUGGUUCGCGUGGAAUAAAUGUUUCAUGUUACUGAUUAAUAGGGGAAUAAGGUCCGUGAUGAUGGAAUAGCUGAAUGCAUUCAAAAGGUUAAUAUUCAAAUUUAAUCCCUUUUUCAUUCAAUUUAUGAAACAUAAUGUCUAAUUUACAAUGAAGAGACCUUAACCAAGCUGGGUCCCUCCUACCAAGUCGAGUCCGUGUACAUAUCUCAAUUUUUUCCCUUUAAUUGCUCUUAAUUACUUUAAGGCUUGCGUCCCAAAAUUUAGUUCACUAUAUUUGAUUCACACAUUUAAUUUACUUUAUCCCCAUUUAUGACAAGGUUUUGUUACUCCUAUACUAAAGAUCCAGCAAGUUCAGUCGAACUUUUAUGAUUAAGCAAAAAGCUUUCUACCCUCAUUUACAUAGUAACAAGUGUCGAACGCAUAGUAACAAGUAUAGAAACUGUAUAUAUUGGAUUUAAAUUAAACGUGAAUACACACAAUUUGUAGUGUGGUUAGCUCAACAAAACGAACAUAAAUAAAGAAUGUUUCUUUUCAAUAUUAUAUUAGCUGUUCAUUCAUUUAAUAUUCAUGCUAUUUCAUUAUGGUAUAAUCUCCUCUGUUUAUUCUCUCAGUUUCUUGAGCCUUUAAGCUUGGUGAGUUAUGGUUUCUGUGCAUAAAAAGAUUAGCGCAGGCAAAUCGUACAUCAUCCUCUUGGCUUCUUGCUGCUGCAUAAUCAAUCCAAGUCAGCUUUCGACUUCCAAGUAGUCAAAUUUCUAAUUUUUCUGUGCAUAAGCUUCAUUAAAAAAGUGUUCAGCUUUUGCAUAUUUCAACUUGACUUCCUAAAUCUCAGUAUUAGUGUGUUUUUGAGUUUUGAUUGCUGGAUUUGAGUCGAUGGAUGAAGCUUCAUCUGAGCUCUAGGAUAACAUGAAUGAUAUCAUGGAAACAAAUGAAGAUCAAGCAUGUUGCCUCUGAGAGUGAGACAUUGUAAUGUGUGUGAAGAAUUUUCAUUUUUGAAAGUGUGUCAACUUGCAUGUUCGGUUAGAAUACAGGCUUUUGUAAUAUGUAUAAACUUCAUAACAUCUUUGGUUAACGUUUUGAUCAGUAAUGAUUGUCAAAAAAACUUAUGAUUGUUACUUUAUCGUGUACAAAUACAAAUUUAAGUAGGGGAAUUAGUCCCUUUUUCAUCCAA